rnacentral:rRNA from 1 species
UGGGGAAUAUUGCACAAUGGGGGAAACCCUGAUGCAGCAACGCCGCGUGAGUGAUGACGGCCUUCGGGUUGUAAAGCUCUGUCUUCAGGGACGAUAAUGACGGUACCUGAGGAGGAAGCCACGGCUAACUACGUGCCAGCAGCCGCGGUAAUACGUAGGUGGCAAGCGUUGUCCGGAUUUACUGGGCGUAAAGGGAGCGUAGGCGGACUUUUAAGUGAGAUGUGAAAUACCCGGGCUCAACCUGGGUGCUGCAUUUCAAACUGGAAGUCUAGAGUGCAGGAGAGGAGAGUGGAAUUCCUAGUGUAGCGGUGAAAUGCGUAGAGAUUAGGAAGAACACCAGUGGCGAAGGCGACUCUCUGGACUGUAACUGACGCUGAGGCUCGAAAGCGUGGGGAGUAAACA